rnacentral:lncRNA from 1 species
UCCUUGGCCUCAAAGGAUCCUCCUGUCUGGGUCUCUCAAACUGCUGGGAAUACAAGCAUGAGCCACCACAGCUGACGAACAGCUAUUUUUGAAUAAAGUAAAGGAAGAGAGGGAGGGAGAGAAGAAGGAAGAAGAAAAAAAAGAAAAGAAGUGAAGGAGGGUUAACUACAGCCAAAGAAAAAGAAGCAGCCCAACAGAGAGCUCAGGAAAAUUACACUUCAUACAUCCAACUGCUAUGGAAGAGGAUGGAGGUGAGAAGCGGAGGGAGAAAGAAGGAUGUGAUAUUCCAUCCCCAUUAAGAAAAUUUUUCAAGCCCCCAAUCUGAACCUACUGAAUCAGAAUUUGAGGAGAUGAGACCUGUAUACCUAGAUUUUCAAAAGACUCUCAACUCUAUCCACUCUCAUCACUUCUAUUUAACAUUAUACUGGAGGUCCUGGCCAGGGAAGUAAGGACACAAUUGGAGAAACUGGUUAUUUUGCCAAGGCUUUGAUGGGAAUGGCGUGGUUCCCUUUAAGGAAGCAAAUUUGACUUAUAGAGCCAAUAAAAGCCCCUUGGGAAAACUGGCCUCAUACCUUGUCUACACAGUACUUGUACAGGGCUCCUGACCUAUGAUGGACCCUUGAAGGAAGAAAACAUCGAAGGAGGAAAGAGAAGGCUUUGACAUAAAUUGAGAGGAACAAGGAGAAAGAGAAUCUGCUUUAUUACCCAGAGGAUACAAUGAAGGAAGCUUGGGGUCAUCCUAAAUUCCUGAAUUUUCUCUAUUUUGCAAGAUCCAGCCAAUAAUCAAGUCUAGUCACUUUUUCCUCCUCGUAAGUAUCUUCUGUACC